UUGUUUGUGUAUGAUGGGUACAAUGUUGAAAUUCUGUUUGAGGGUCCCUCAGACCCCACCACAGAUUUGGUCCCCCUCAAUGUUGACAUCAUGACUACGGC